rnacentral:misc_RNA from 1 species
GAUGAAGAACGUAGUGAAAUGCGAUAAGUAUUGUGAAUUGCAGAAUCCAGUGAAUCAUCGAAUCUUUGAACGCACAUUGCGCCCGCCAGCAUUCUGGCGGGCAUGCCUGUUCGAGCGUCAUUUCAACCCUCGACCUCCCUUUGGGGAAGUCGGCGUUGGGGACCGGCAGCACACCGCCGGCCCUGAAAUGGAGUGGCGGCCCGUCCGCGGCGACCUCUGCGUAGUAAACCAACUCGCACCGGAACCCCGACGUGGCCACGCCGUAAAACACCCAACUUCUGAACGUUGACCUCGAAUCAGGUAGGACUACCCGCUGAACUUAAGCAUAUCAAUAAGCGGAGAA